rnacentral:rRNA from 1 species
CCUACGGGAGGCAGCAGUGGGGGAUAUUGCACAAUGGGGGAAGCCCUGAUGCAGCAACGCCGCGUGAGUGAAGAAGGUCUUCGGAUUGUAAAGCUCUGUUCUUGGUGAAGAUAAUGACGGUAGCCAAGGAGAAAGCUCCGGCUAACUACGUGCCAGCAGCCGCGGUAAUACGGAGGAUGCGAGCGUUAUCCGGAUUUAUUGGGUUUAAAGGGUGCGCAGGCGGACCAUCAAGUCAGCGGUAAAAUCGUGGGGCCCAACCCCAUCCCGCCGUUGAAACUGGCGGACUUGAGUGUGCGAGAAGUAUG